rnacentral:rRNA from 1 species
AUUGAACGCUGGCGGCAUGCCUUACACAUGCAAGUCGAACGGUAACAGGUCUUCGGAUGCUGACGAGUGGCGAACGGGUGAGUAAUACAUCGGAACGUGCCUAGUAGUGGGGGAUAACUACUCGAAAGAGUGGCUAAUACCGCAUGAGAUCUACGGAUGAAAGCAGGGGAUCGCAAGACCUUGUGCUACUAGAGCGGCCGAUGGCAGAUUAGGUAGUUGGUGGGAUAAAAGCUUACCAAGCCGACGAUCUGUAGCUGGUCUGAGAGGACGAUCAGACACACUGGGACUGAGAGACGGCCCAGACUCCUACGGGAGGCAGCAGUGGGGAAUUUUGGACAAUGGGCGCAAGCCUGAUCCAGCAAUGCCGCGUGCAGGAUGAAGGCCUUCGGGUUGUAAGCUGCUUUUGUACGGAACGAAAAGCCCUGGGUUAAUACCCUGGGGUCAUGACGGUACCGUAAGAAUAAGCACCGGCUAACUACGUGCCAGCCGCCGCCGUAA